rnacentral:rRNA from 1 species
UACAGAGGGGGCAAGCGUUAUUCGGAAUUAUUGGGCGUAAAGGGCUCGUAGGCGGUUUGUCGCGUCGGGAGUGAAAACACGGGGCUUAACCCCGUGCCUGCUUCCGAUACGGGCAGACUAGAGGUAUGCAGGGGAGAACGGAAUUCCUGGUGUAGCGGUGAAAUGCGCAGAUAUCAGGAGGAAUACCGGUGGCGAAGGCGGCAUCCUGGACCGGCAUUGACGCUGAUGAGCGAAAGCUAGGGGAGCAAACGGG